rfam:Hordeum vulgare subsp. vulgare, WGS project CAJW01000000 data, contig: morex_contig_40619
GAUGUACUCCCUCCGUCUCAAAAUUCUUGUCUUAGAUUUGUAUCGAUAUGAAUGUAUCUAGUCAUAUUUUAGUAUUUUGAUACAUCCAGUUUUAAAAAAAAUUAAGACAAGAAUUUUGGAACGGAGGGAGUACUUC